ACGGCAGCACAGCAGUAGCAAUACUGGUGGGUGGCGAGUGGCGGACGGGUGAGUANNNNNNCGGGACCUGCCCAGACGUGGGGGAUAACGUAGGGAAACUUACGCUAAUACCGCAUACGUCCUACGGGAGAAAGCGGGGGAUCAGCAAUGACCUCGCGCGGUUGGAUGGACCGAUGUUCGACUAGCUUGUUGGUGGGGUAAUGGCCUACCAAGGCGACGAUCGAUAGCUGGUCUGAGAGGAUGAUCAGCCACACUGGGACUGAGACACGGCCCAGACUCCUACGGGAGGCAGCAGUGGGGAAUAUUGGACAAUGGGCGCAAGCCUGAUCCAGCAAUGCCGCGUGUGUGAAGAAGGCCCUCGGGUUGUAAAGCACUUUUAUCAGGAGCGAAAUCUGCCCGGUUAAUACCUGGGUAGUCUGACGGUACCUGAGGAAUAAGCACCGGCUAACUCCGUGCCAGCAGCCGCG
rnacentral:rRNA from 1 species